rnacentral:lncRNA from 7 species
CCAAGCAAAGAGAAAUAGACUGUCCAAGCAAAGAAAGCUUAGAUGUACUGAAUCUAAAUCUGAAAAAAGUCAAAAACAUGUCAAGGAUGAAUAAAGACUAAUCUGAAAAAAGAGACAAAAGCAUGCCAAGAAUGAAUAAAAACUAUGAUUAAUCUGAAAAACGUGUCAAAAUCGACCACACACUAAGCAAAGAAAGGUGGCCUACCUGAAUCUAAAAGAAACUGUCGAAGCAAAGAGAAAUAGACUGUCCAA